CCGAUCCAGGUGCAGCGCCACCAGCGGAUCCCGCUCCCAAAACCGCAUUCGGCUGAGGAGCAGGACGUUUGUUGUGCCGCAACGGUGCAGUGGGUGGCAUCUGGUGACCGGUGGUCUGCAGGAACCAUGGAUCGCCAGCCGUGCUGCCUGUCGUCGCUGCAGCGGCCACCGUCACCGAGGGCUGCGAGAAUCCGCGAUGGUGUCCGACGACCGUGGUUUGUCCGUUCUGCGUGGCAGUCGCGUGGCUGUUCAUAGCCUGGCCGGACGUCGUGGUUGCCGUCUGCUUCCUCAGCAAUCCCUGCUUUAUCUCAACGGUGAUCAGAUCACCCUCGCCGGACGCCUUUCUCGAAAGCGGCUCCUUCUCCUUAUGGUUUUCCUCCGGUUUUUGCUGCGGCUUCUGGUUCUUCUCGUGGCUGGUCUUACUAGCUUGGCCUUCCUCGUCUGCAAAAACCGAAAUGAGUAAAAAUAUUAGUUUGUUACUAUUGCUUUACUGUUCAGCUUUAUCAAUGAAUAAUGUUAUUUUUAUUUGCUGAUACAAGGAGGCGAAAAGCAUCUAAUCUUAUCACAACAAUCAGCUGCUCAAAUAAGUAAUUUGUUUUAUGACCCGCACACAAUUAUCAAAGGGAAUAUGUAGAUAUUCUCUCCAUUUCUGACAUAACUUGGCAAUUUUAAUAUCGGAAUUGUCACAAUAUCUCUAUCAGACAAUAUAGCCGCAUUCACCGAUCGAGUUGCUUUUUCUGUAUAGCCAAGCCAAAUCAACUCCCGUGAUCGAAUGAAGGCCAAACUCACGUUUAUUUAAUCAGUCAGUCAAGUCAGUGGACAAAUAGCAACGAUUGCAUAAGCGACUUUGAUGCGCAAUGCUAAUUGUUGGUCAACACACUCAAAACGCAGCUCAGUGACUCAAAUGGACACAAAUGGCAUGUUAAUCGGGUGAACCGCGCGAAUCUGCUCUCCAAAUGUAAAGCAUUCGCAUGUGACGGGCAUAAUUAAACCCACUUUAUUGGCCACUUUCAGGCUUUGGGCUACUGUGUGUGCCUGGACACGAAUUCGGAUUCAGGAUGAGUCAGUUUCGUGUCGCUUUAAAGCUACCCGCAAAUCUGUGCACGCAAAGAAAUUAGAAGACAAAUGCCUU